rnacentral:rRNA from 1 species
AGGGAAUCUUCGGCAAUGGACGGAAGUCUGACCGAGCAACGCCGCGUGAGUGAAGAAGGUUUUCGGAUCGUAAAGCUCUGUUGUAAGAGAAGAACGAGUGUGAGAGUGGAAAGUUCACACUGUGACGGUAUCUUACCAGAAAGGGACGGCUAACUACGUGCCAGCGGCCGCGGUAAUACGUAGGUCCCGAGCGUUGUCCGGAUUUAUUGGGCGUAAAGCGAGCGCAGGCGGUUAGAUAAGUCUGAAGUUAAAGGCUGUGGCUUAACCAUAGUACGCUUUGGAAACUGUUUAACUUGAGUGCAAGAGGGGAGAGUGGAAUUCCAUGUGUAGCGGUGAAAUGCGUAGAUAUAUGGAGGAACACCGGUGGCGAAAGCGGCUCUCUGGCUUGUAACUGACGCUGAGGCUCGAAAGCGUGGGGAGCAAACAGGAUUAGAUACCCUGGUAGUCACGCCGUAAACGAUGAGUGCUAGGUGUUAGACCCUUUCCGGGGUUUAGUGCCGUAGCUAACGCAUUAAGCACUCCGCCUGGGGAGUACGACCGCAAGGUUG